rnacentral:rRNA from 1 species
CAAGUCGAACGAAGUAGUAAUACUUAGUGGCAGACGGGUGAGUAACAUGUAGGUAUCUUCCCUUUGGUGAGGAAUAACACGAGGAAACUUGUGCUAAUACCUCAUAAGUCUUUACAGAGAAAGCUUUAUGCGCCAAAGGAUGAGCCUGCACUUGAUUAGUUUGUUGGUGGGGUAAUGGCUUACCAAGACUUUGAUCAAUAGCUGAUCUGAGAGGAUGAUCAGCCACAUUGGGACUGAGACACGGCCCAAACUCCUACGGGAGGCAGCAGUAGGGAAUAUUGCACAAUGGAGGAAACUCUGAUGCAGCGAUGCCGCGUGAGUGAAGAAGGCCUUUGGGUUGUAAAGCUCUUUCGUCGGGGAAGAAAAUGACUGUACCCGAAUAAGAAGGUCCGGCUAACUUCGUGCCAGCAGCCGCGGUAAUACGAAGGGACCUAGCGUAGUUCGGAAUUACUGGGCUUAAAGAGUUCGUAGGUGGUUAAAAAAGUUGGUGGUGAAAUCCCAGAGCUUAACUCUGGAACUGCCAUCCAAACUUUUUAGCUAGAGUAUGAUAGAGGAAAGCAGAAUUUCUAGUGUAGAGGUGAAAUUCGUAGAUAUUAGAAAGAAUAC